rnacentral:rRNA from 1 species
GUGGAUUAGAUACCCUGGUAGUCCACGCCGUAAACUAUGGAUGCUAGCCGUCAGAUAGCUUGCUAUUUGGUGGCGCAGCUAACGCAUUAAGCAUCCCGCCUGGGGAGUACGGCCGCAAGGUUAAAACUCAAAGGAAUUGACGGGGGCCCGCACAAGCGGUGGAGCAUGUGGUUUAAUUCGACGCAACGCGAAGAACCUUACCAGCUCUUGACAUUUACUGAUCGUUUCCAGAGAUGGAUUCAUCCCAGCAAUGGGCAGUAGGACAGGUGCUGCACGGUCGUCGUCAGCU